GGUUCCCGGUGAUGUCAGCACUGGGCUCUGAACUCUUGUGAGGAAAUCAGUGCCUCCCCGGGGACUUGACACCCUGGGGACUGAGGGGGCC
rnacentral:snoRNA from 1 species